AUAACCGGAGAAGUCGCAACAAAGCUUCGGUAGGCGAACCUGCUGAAGGUUCAU
rnacentral:rRNA from 1 species